UAAUGGCUUCUAUAUCCAUGAUGUAGCUCGGGUUGUUGGCGUAAGAAAGAAUUGUGGAUAUUGAACAACAUGAUGAAUCCUCUAGACUGUUGUCUCAGAAUGAUCCACUUGCUCAAGCUCUCGAAAAGGAGCACUCAAGUAGAGUGCGUGGUAUGGGUUUGGGACCGACUUCUAAUCAAAUCUUCGGUAUGAAUUCCCAUCAGCCAGCAAUGGAGCUCAAAGGGAGGAGACCCAGAGGGUGCUGCUUGAACUACAAGCAGAGUUGGUGGCCAAAAAAUUAAAAAAGAAGGCAGUAGAGGAUGAAGUAGCAGCCAAGAAGCCAAAAAGGCAAGCAGUGGAGGAUGAAGCAGCAGCCGGGAAGAUAAACAUUCAGGCAAUGGAGAGUGUUCUGAGAUGUCUAAUUCAAGGAUAAGGUGGGAAGCUGCCACCAGUCGUCGCCGCAUGGAUGAAUUCGUUGGAGGGACAGAUUGAAAAGUAGAUCUUAGAAUUGGGGAAGUUUUUUUUUUAAUAUACACUUUUUUUUGUUGAGUAUGCAACUCUAAGUAAGGAAUACACUUUAUUGAUAUUUGGAUAAUUAUAUGAAUUUUAUUAAUAGUUUUGCUAA